GAAUAUUUAUAAAGGACAAGAAGACCCUACAGAGCUUUAUUAGAAAAAGACUAAAUCUUAUACUAAUUUGGUUGGGACAACCAAAAGACAUAAAAACCUCUUUAUACUUACUUUUUAUUUAACCUGAAAAGAUAAAAACGAAGCUACCUUAGGGAUAACAGGCUAAUCUUACUAAAGAGACCACAUUGACAGUAAGGGUUGGCACC
rnacentral:rRNA from 1 species